UGCGUCAGCUGAGAGCAGAGGGAAGGUGCCCAUUAAAUGAAAACGCAUUUAACAUGCAGGAGGUGGCUGUUACCUGUCCAUCAGGUUUGCAGCAUAAAGCCAAUAUGAUAUGAAACUUUGAAUGGCACGCAAAGAAAAUAAUGCAAAGGAUUGUAAGUGUUUCCAUAGGCAAAACAAUAAAUCCAGAUGGCAUGCUGGAUCAACCCGAGCCGAUGAAAAAUAACAGUGGAGGGCC